rnacentral:rRNA from 1 species
CCUACGGGUGGCAGCAGUGAGGAAUAUUGGUCAAUGGACGAGAGUCUGAACCAGCCAAGUAGCGUGAAGGAUGACUGCCCUAUGGGUUGUAAACUUCUUUUAUAUGGGAAUAAAACGUUCCACGUGUGGGAUUUUGUAUGUACCAUAUGAAUAAGGAUCGGCUAACUCCGUGCCAGCAGCCGCGGUAAUACGGAGGAUCCGAGCGUUAUCCGGAUUUAUGUGGUUUAAAGGGAGCGUAGGUGGAUUGGUAAGUCAGUUGGGAAAGUUUGCGGCUAAACCGUAACAUUGCAGUUGAAACUGGCAGUCUUGAGUACAGGAGAGGUGGGCGGAAGUCGUGGGGGAGCGGUGAAAUGCUUAGAUAUCACGAAGAACUCCGAUUGCGAAGGCAGCUCACUGGACUGCAACUGACACUGAGGCUCGAAAGUGGGGGUAUCAAACAGGAUUAGAUACCCCGGUAGUC